UAGUUGGAAUUCAGUGCAAGGUGUAAUGGUGUUAAAUCAAUCUAUGAUGACGACGACGACGACGACGAUGAUGAUGAUGUUGAUUAUGCUGAAGUUCCUCUUCCUGAAAGAAUAUUGUCUUAUGGAAAAUCAGCAGAGACAAGUAGGAGUUGAAACCAAAUGACCACCCCUUCCAGAUCCUGUACCCACAGCAAGACCUAUAUCACCAGAGCAUAAAACCUUCCUGAAAAUGCCAUUGGGAAUAAGACUGCUGUACCAUCUGCCUUGACCUGCUGGGACCUUACCAGCAGUACCACCACACCAUGUACUUCAUCUUCUAAGCAGAUUCUAAUUACAAGGCAAGAACUGAUUCAGGUGGGAAGAGCCCUCUUGCUGUUCGAGUUAUCUCUUGUUAGAUUGACAGUGGUCCACAUGACCUACACCAAAACCUCAGGCUUCUUGGGUGGGCUUGAGAGAUAUAUUUCCAAAAGGGAUUUAGCUACGUGAUGGCUAAAAUCCAGCAGACAUUGCUUUGAAAUUGUAUGCAAUUGUAUAUAUACCAUACUGCUCUCGCAAACAAUAUAUAUCUCCACAUGCAGAACAGGCCAUCCAAAAGAACACAGUAUGCUAUAAAAAGUGUUAUGAUAAUUUAAAAAAAAAAAGCUUUCCUUAAAACAACAAAAAAAAAAGGAUUAUUGAUGUUUGUUAUAAAAUCUACAAAAAUAGCAUUUAAAGCAUGUGAUUUGUUUGUUGUAUUAAGCACACAACAACUUGAAGAGAAGUCAUGAAUAAGAGCAGUUAAAUCCAGGUCAGAACAGAAGUGUCUCUUCCAGGACAGUACCUAAGCAAUCAAUACAACUAUCAUUAGUGCUUUUUGCCAAAUACUGCCUAGUGAAUCUUGUUGUCCAAGAACUCACUAAGAAUAUCAUAAGCAGAAGUUGCUCUGUUGCCUCUUCCACUGUUACAGCACCUCAGGUCAAAGUCCAAGUUGGGUUUUGAAUAUCUCCAAUGAUGCAAACUCUCUCUGGAGCAACCUGUGUCCAACCACUCUCUGAGAUGAAACUAUCCCAGACUGAAAGGGUGGGACUCCAUUGGAAGCCAGCAGACUCCCACUACCACAGACAAGGCGCCAGUAAACUUAUAUCCAGUAACUUAUAUCCAGUAACUGGAGAGUGAAAUGCUUCUCACCUCACUUCAGCUGCCUAGAAGAGAAAACAUCUCCAAGAGGAAGUCUCCAGUCACCUCCAGGGGUCAGUUCAUUACUUAGGUCUGAAAACUGUACACUUGUGUCUCUUCUUUGUCACAAUGGGAGUCCCUAAUUCCAAUUUAGACUGGAUAGUUAGAAGUUAAGUGCUGAAAGGCAAGGUAAUUCACACCUGAACUGAAUAAUGGGCAGCACUUCCAUGGGUGCUUUUGAAAUGUGCCUAAAAUAACAGAACUGCGAUUUGCUGUUCUCAUUCAAAUGGAGAAGUCUGAAAACCCUGUGUGCUGGCAUGCACUGACGCUCACUAAUCCAGAGGAAUGCCGCAUACUGGGAACAGUCCCCUUGAACCCAGUGGAACUACCACGACUUUUCAGGAACUCCUUCAGACUGAAGCAUAAGCGUUUAUUUUCUCUGGGUAAGACAGAUCUUUAUCAAAGUUGUAUAUUUACAGCUCGAUUUUCUGAAAGUGCAGAGCAUUUUGUAACUUCGCAUCCAUCAGUGAUGGCUGAACUGAAACACACUCACAGCUUCAGUUCCUGGAAGUGAGCAAGUUGGCCGCAUGUCCACUGCUGUCUGCAGGGACCAAGGGUGAGACACUGGGUGCCAGCAGCUGUCUCAGAUGGUACAAGAUAUCUACAUUUGGCCAACUGAGUUAUAAUGUCAUAGAAUCAUAGAAUCACCAAGGUUGGAAAAGACCUCCAAGGUCAUCCAGUCCAACCACCCACCUACCACCAAUAUUUCCCACUAAACUAUUUCCCUCAGUACAACACCUAAACGUUUCUUGAACACCUCCAGGAACGGCGACUUCACCGUUACAUGGGAGAAGAGGCUGACUCCCACCUCACCACAGCUUCCCUUCAGGUAGUUGAAGAGAGCCUUCAUGUAGUUGUGGAGAAUCACACUGAUGGUCAGUAAAGUUAAUAUAUUUCAGGGAUUGAUUCUUCUCAUCACCACCUGAUCAGAUGAAUGACUUUCCUACUCUACUGCUUACAUUAAUGAGUGAUUGACUGAGCCUCCCACAGAAAUGCCAUUGGAUUGGAGAUGCCCUAUGGUAUCUGGGACUUGUUCACAGAGUUAACAGAUAUGUCACAGGACCUGCCAGGGAACCAUACAAUUCUGGAAAAGCCUCUAAAUGUCAUCCAGAUUUCAACUCUGAAAAAGUUUUCCAAUAACAUUGGAUACUUGUCUGUGGGUCGCUGAUUAGAGAUAUGGAUCUUCAUUAGCUGUAAUGAGGUGGAGACUCCUAUAUCUUAUGAAGAUCUGUGUACUACAGACUGAAGAAACCUAUGCUGCAUGUUGUUUUGUAUAGAGAUCUUGCAGUGACUGAGAGGCACUAAAAAUGCAUACAGAUAGAUGAAAUGAAUAACAGCUUACGAGUCUAGGCUUUAAGCCAAACCAGUUUCUCUAUGUUGUGACACUAAUUUAAAGUAACUGUGUUUCAACAGCCUGGAAAGUUUAGAUUCAAAUUCUCAGGAGAAAAAGAGAUCUGGGGUACAGAGAGAGGUUUGCUUUUUCUUCCAAUUACUGCACAAGGAAAAAACAUUAAACGAAUGACUUUUCAUCAAAGGAAUAAUAAAAGUAAAGAAUUCAUUGAGAGAUUGGGAAGAGAGUGGUAGAAAUAUCUCCUCUGUUACAGUGCUGAAGACACGGACAUGCUGGAGAGGUACAUGGUGAGAGUACUUAUCAAAUUUCUGAGGCCACUAUUCAGAAAAUGACAUCAUGUUGAUGUUGUUAUUUCACCUCUUUGCUGGGUUGGGGUUAAAAGGUACAAUAAGUACAGUUCUUGUGUCAUUUCAAAAUACCUGAGGCCUAAAUAUGAAGGAAAACAUGGAUAAAAAUGUUUCCACCAUAUUUUGGGAAAAAUCAUUGUCACUCAACCAUACGAGUUGGAGACAGGUUUAUUCUAUAAUUUGUUUAUUUAUUUACCUAAAUCGGUUUGAUGAGCUAUUUAUUGCCCUAAUUACAAAGAGACACUGUAGAAGGGUGUAAGAGAGGAUAGAGAAGAAUUCAUCUUCUUCAGGAUAUGUUCACUCUAAAGUUGAGCAAUGGAGUUAAGAAUGAGUAACUGUGUCACCAAAUGAUUCCCUGUGUGUUCAGGGUAAAGUUUAAUAUAAUAACACUUAUGCUCCUAACAUACAUGACAUUGGAAUUUUGUGCUAGUGUAACUGAGACCAGAAUUGACUGUUUUCUCUCAGGAAUCAAGUCUAGAAAAGAACUUCUUAAAAGCUCAGGGCUGAUCCAAAUUAAUUGCAAAUCACAAUGGACAGAGAAAAACAACACACAAAGCUCUGCAUGGGGAAGAGAAGCAGGAGAUGAAACCUAUAUGAAUGUUAUUCCACCCCAGAGAGUUCUGCACAUCUAGCUGCUGAUUACAGAUAUCUGUAUCAAGGAUCAUAUUCCUCACUCUGUGCUCAUUAACUAUAGUCACUCCAGCUGAGUGUUUCACCUGGGUGGAGUGCUUGGCUGUUCAGGAAUUAUGGCUGCUUUUCUUUUCCAGAUUAAUGUAAGGGUGAUGUGGCCCAGUGGUGCACCUGGCUCGUGGAUGUAUAAAAUGCUUUGGAAGCCCCAUUGAGCAAAAUGAGCCAUGGAAGUGUCAAUCACUUUCACUGAGAACAUAAGCAAGCAGGUACGAAGCUGGGAAUUUGCCAAAACUUGCUCACAGCUGAAGCCUGGUGCCUGUAGCUGUUUGGAUAGAAAGCCAAACAAUUUGUCCUGCUCUUACAUAGAAGUUAGAAGUGACACUAGGCAACUUUAGCCAGUUCACACACUCAUUUCUACACGCUUCAUACUCUGUAUUAGAAGACUAAUUUCCUGAACUAGUUCUUCAAGUCAAGUAGUUAAAAACAGUUAACGCAACCAACUGAUGCAAAGAGCAGUGAAUCCAUAACUCCUUUAUGACAAUAAUAUAUGACCCCCAAGCAAAGAGUUUCUUUAAAAAUAGUACAAAAUCUCUCUUUGUCUUCCUUUUAAUAAUAUGGAGAGUUUAAGCCUGUGUUCUCAAAUCAUGCCCUGAUGAAAUGCCAAGGUCUGGUUUCACCAUGCAUAUGAUUCUCAUUUAUGAGACACAUACUUAGAUGAAUCAACGUCAAAGGCUUAUUUAAACAUAGCAAUUCUGCAAUGAGCUAAUAACUCAUGCACAACAAGGUAUUUCUUUUGCUAGCUCUAAACAAAUUAUGAAUGUUAAAUAAACAUCUUCUUCUUGCUUAAACUACUCAGAUGCAGAGGAAACAACCGGCUGCUUUUAAUAAAAAUAUUGUGUAAAAUGAGAGAGUCCCAGAUGGUGAGGUCUAUUUUUUUGUUUUCUAAAGGGCAAUUUUAAUUUUGAUUGAAGCUCGGUAAUUUCUUUUCUUAUUUGAUUUCCCUAAAGCAACGUUCCAAAAAAUCAUAGCUUUUCCCAGUUUGGAUACUUAGGCAGUGCUGAGAUGAAAUUCUCAUCUGGAAGAGUUUUUCAGCCAUUUGUAUAAGACGUGACCCAGUGCCCAUCAAAGUCAAUAGGAUUCUUUCUUCUGAUUCCAAUAGGCUUUGGAUGAAAUCUAAGGGGUUUGAUUUAAAGUCUAGUUAAAUCACAGAAAGAUCCUCAAGAUCUUAGGAGAAGGUGGUUUAUACUCCUCCAUUCUGCCCCACAGCAAUACGUUCUGGGAGAACCUUCACCCAAACAAAACAUUUCAUUUAAUGGGGAAUUAUAUUUAAAAUGUCUCAGCUUUUGAAUAAUACAAAAAAAAAAAAAGUGUUUUCCUGUCACAUUUUGUUGGUUUUAUCUAUCUAUGUUUCUAUCUAUCAUCUGUCUAUCUACCUAUCUAUCUAUUUACUACUCUUUAAACCCGCUGAAGGCAGAAGAAGGAAGAAAUUAAACAGUGGCAAAUGUUAUAAUUUUCUUUUUCUGUAAAGUUUCCAAGUCCAAGAAAAUAAAUCACUGAACCAAAAAUCCACAUUUCACAGUUACUUAUUUUAUUCAAAACUAAUUCUCAGCAGGAGAGGAAAAGUGAGGAUUUCAAAGGUAUAGCAUGUAAAGGAAAAUGAUUAUUUUAAUUUUAAGCAUCAACGAGUUAUUUUUCAAGUGCUAAACUGAGGUCCAGCAAAACUCUAGUGAUACCAUUUUAAAUCUGCCUUGCUUUUUUCAAAUUAUACUCUUGACCUGGUCAUUGGUUGAGAUGUAAUAUUAAAGACCAUUUAUGGGGAAGCAGAUAUUAAGGAUUGUAACAUUGCAAUAUUUCAAAUUAAAAUAGAAAAAUGCUGCUGCAGAAUAAUUCUUUGGAAAACAUAUCAAACUGACUAUUUUUUUCUCUUUU